GAUGAACGCUGGCGGCGUGCUUAACACAUGCAAGUCGAACGGAAAGGCCCAAGCUUGCUUGGGUACUCGAGUGGCGAACGGGUGAGUAACACGUGGGUGAUCUGCCCUGCACUUCGGGAUAAGCCUGGGAAACUGGGUCUAAUACCGGAUAGGACGAUGGUUUGGAUGCCAUUGUGGAAAGUUUUUUCGGUGUGGGAUGAGCUCGCGGCCUAUCAGCUUGUUGGUGGGAUAAUGGCCUACCAAGGCGUCGACGGGUAGCCGGCCUGAGAGGGUGUACGGCCACAUUGGGACUGAGAUACGGCCCAGACUCCUACGGGAGGCAGCAGUGGGGAAUAUUGCACAAUGGGCGCAAGCCUGAUGCAGCGACGCCGCGUGGGGGAUGACGGCCUUCGGGUUGUAAACUCCUUUCGCUAGGGACGAAGCGUUUUUGUGACGGUACCUGGAGAAGAAGCACCGGCUAACUACGUG
rnacentral:rRNA from 1 species